rnacentral:rRNA from 1 species
GAUCGCACGGCCCAGCGCCGGCGACGUGUCUUUCGAGUGUCUGCCUUAUCAACUUGUUGGUAGUGUAUGUGACUACCACGGUGCUCACGGGUAACGGAGGAUCAGGGUUCGACUCCGGAGAAGGGGCCUGAGAAAUGGCCACUACGUCUAAGGAUGGCAGCAGGCGCGCAAAUUACCCACUCUCGGCACGAGGAGGUAGUGACGAAAAAUAACGGGGCCGACCCUUCGGGGCUGGCGACCGGAAUGGGUACAACCUAAACCCUUUGACGAGUAUCUAUGAGAGGGCAAGUCUGGUGCCAGCAGCCGCGGUAAUUCCAGCUCUCAGAAUGCAUAGAACCAUUGCUGCGGUUAAAAAGCUCGUAGUUGGAUUUCAGCGCGGGCGCUCGGACGUCGCUUCGGCGGCGCUCCGAUCGUCCGUGCUUUACGCCGGUCCGCACCGACACCUCCGGGUGUCCGGUCGGUCGGCGAGUUUACUUUGAACAAAUCAGAGUGCUCAAGACAGGCUCAACGCCUGAAUGCUCGUGCAUGGAAUAAUGGAAGAGGGCCACGGUCCGAUUUCGUUGGUCAAGCGGCCGAGGCAAUGAUCAAUAGGGGCGGACGGGGGCAUUCGUACUUCUGCGUGAGAGGUGAAAUUUUUGGACCGCAGGAAGACGCACGACAGCGAAGGCAAUUGCCAAGCACGUCCCCGUUAAUCAAGAACGAAAGUCAGAGGAUCGAAGGCGAUUAGAUACCGCCCUAGUUCUGACCGUAAACGAUGCCAACUGGCGAUCCGCCGGCGAGCGCAAGUUCCCGGUGGGGAGCCUCCCGGAAACGAAAGUCUUCCGGUUCCGGGGGAAGUAUGGUUGCAAAGCUGAAACUUAAAGGAAUUGACGGAAGGGCACCACCAGGAGUGGAGCCUGCGGCUUAAUUUGACUCAACACGGGGAACCUCACCCGGGCAGGACACCGUCGGGAUUGACAGACAGCAGCCCUUUCAUGAUUCGGUGAGUGGUGGUGCAUGGCCGUUCUUAGUUCGUGGAGUGAUCAGUCAGGUUAAUUCCGGUAACGAGCGAGACUCCAGCCUACUA